rnacentral:misc_RNA from 1 species
AAUUUAUUACAACGAAUUUGUUGUAAUUGCAAUAAAUAAUGCGCCAAUCGACGUGCAAUUAAAUAAAUAAGGUGCUCUCAAGCGCAGCGUGUACAAAUAGCGGCGAAAAUACAACAAAAUUCGUGUGCUGACGCAAAACCCAAACCGCAUUUUUAGUGUAACCCAAUUUUGUAUUGCAUUUACAAAAUAAAAAUAAAAAUUUACAAAAAAAGAAAAUAUUAAGAAGCUGAGCUCUUUAUGCUGCCACCAUUCGUCGAUCAAUAAACAACAAGAAAUUUGGAUUCAGUUGUUCAUUUUUCUGUUCAACCAAACAAAAACAUCAAUAACUACUGCUUCUUCUUCGCAACGCCCACGCAACGAAAAUGAAAUCAAAGCUGAAAACUGCGCUACUGGCGUCGACGUCAUCGUCUAGCAACGGUAAAUGGAUGUUGGUGUCAGCGUUGCUGUUAAUUCUGCUGGUGGCCGCCACCCAAGCAGCUGAUGAGAAAUUUGUGAAACCAUCAGCAGCAGCGCUCUCAUCCGCAUCCCUUACAUCGGCGGACAGUGGGGAAAUUGAUAUCGAUGGCGAUAACGGUUCCGGACAUGGCGGGAUACACGAUGAUCUAGAAAAGGAUCCGGACUAUUCUGGCUCUGGUUUUGGACCCGAUGACGAGGACGCCAUAAUCGAGCAUCAUUCGAGCUCGCACAAUACGCGCAUUCAGAGCAUGGCAACACAAAUACUCACACACCAACAACAACAUCAACAUCAGCAGCAACAACAACAACCACAACACAAACAGCCACCAGUAGCUCCACCCCAGCCACACUCCCAACCAUCAUCUCGAGCACCACAGGCGAAUCAACAAGCCCAUCAGGCACACCCGUUCAAUCCGCCUCCAAUCCGAAUGCCAACAACACCAGCACAAUCUCCUCAACACCACAAUCCUCUCAUCCAGCCACAACACCACGCACGAUUCCACAGCACGAGUCUGAGGAUGAGGACGAUGCCUUCGAUACGGAAGAUACGUUCCAAGGCAGCGGCGAUGGCGAUAAUGAGGAUGGCGACGACGACAACGACGACAAUGAUGUCGAUGAUGAUGAUGAUGACAAUGAUGAUGAUGAUGAUGAUAGCCAUCCGGUUGAUCCGCAUCCCGAGAGCGAAAUCAAACCGACAAAUCGCACAAAUCUGGACAAUGGCAUUCAAUAUCCGCAUGGCGAGGAUGAGGACGAGGACGAGAUAUAUACGGAGAUCAUUGCCGAGAACGAAGACGACAUUCACAGCCGCAUCUUGCCGGGUGGCAACAGCGGCACGAGCAGUAACGUCCACGAAUUGGAUCCCAACACCAAUAUCAAUAGCCAGCCGACAGACACAAAGAUUGUGGAGCACAGGCCCGCCAACAGCGGCGAGGUGGUCAUCAUGAGCGAGGAGGAUCGCACGACAAGUUUCUUUGCGCAGCCUGGCAUAUUGGCUGCUGUCAUCGGUGGCGCCGUUGUUGGGCUGCUGUGCGCCAUACUCGUCGUCAUGUUCAUCGUGUA